ensembl:lincRNA
AUGGUAAUAACAGUCAAACAUUUGAUUGAACAGGAGAUCUGUAGUACAAAUUUCAAACUAUUUGAUAAAAAAGUGAAAGAAUUGAAUGAACGCAUUGGGAAGACACAGUGCAGGAGAAAACAUGAAGCAAUAGCUGGUGAACUCUUUACAAGAAUAGCAAGACUUCAAAGACGUGUUAAAGCAAUCUUAGCAUUUCAAAGGAAAUAUUUGGAAUCAAAUACAUUUUCCAGUAAUACCCCCUUUAAGAAUGGAAAUUCAGAGACCAUGACUUUGGGUAAGAAUCAAGAGUCAGUUAAUAGCCAAAAGGAAAGAAUGACUUCUGUGUACUGUGAACCUUUCAGCCCUUCAGAAAAAGCAAGUGAAAAAAUUAAUUUGUCAUCGGAUGGUGUUGAGUUUGUUUCUGAAAGUAACAGUGAUGAUGUUAUGUUGAUUUCGGCAGAGAGUCCUAAUUUGACAGCUCCAGUUACAGCAAGUCCAACAGAUUCUAGAACAAUUACAUCAACAAAUUCCAGCAGUUCAUCUAAUAAUAUAAUUGAAGUUAGGACUCCAGAGAAGAAAUGUGAUUUUGUUAUUGAUUUGACAAAAGAAGGCCUGUGCAACUACAAUACAGAAAGUCCACCGUUCACCCUGGAAUCACCUUCUAAGCCUGCUUUAAACUCAAAAGAAAUAACCCCAGUGGCAGAAAAUGUAACUGAGGAUUUGGAUUCCUUUGAGCACCUGCCACCUCUCCCAGAACCAUCAUCGCCACUGCCUGAACUCCUUUACGGGGACACGCUCCCUCCCCAGAAGCCCGAGCUGAAAGUGAAGUGGGUGCUGAGACCCAUGGGCAUCGCCCUAACCUGGAACAUCACCAAGAUCGACCCCAGGUGUGCUCCUGUGGAAAGCUACCACCUCUUCCUGUGCCAUGAGAAUGCCAAUAAUAAGUUGAUUUGGAAGAAAAUCGGAGAAAUUAAAGCUUUACCACUCCCAAUGGCCUGUACUUUAUCAGAAUUUUUUGCUUCCAAUAGAUACUAUUUUGCUGUCCAGUCAAAAGACAUUUUUGGGCGUUAUGGACCAUUUUGUGACGUAAAAUCAGUCCCUGGUUUUUGUGAUAACUUGACCUAAAAGUCUUCAGGAAUUAUAUGUUGUAUAUGAAAUAUUCUGUUUUUCGUAUUUGAGUUGUUCACAUUACUCUUAACACUAUUUACCAUUUCACAAGGUCAGAUUGUGAACCCUUUGGGGACAGUCCUCUUCCUUUUACUGUAAUUAGCUUGUAGUUUCAUGAAUUUCUGACUUGCUUGAACUUCCAAUGUGUGUGUUCUCAAACAUACUGUCGUGGGCCUAUGUUGCUAAGGUGUCUGGGAUACAAGCAGCGAUUUUGUCUUCUGUCAACAGUCAGCUUUGGUGACCUGCUUGUGGUCAGUGUAGCUGUAAGAAAAAUUGUCCCUUAAAGUCUUCACAUUCUGUUAGAAUUCUAGGUAGGCUACGGACCUGUGCCCCUCUUUUUUAUUUAUUUUAGUUUACUUUAUGUCAUGCAUUUGGAGAAGUAGUCUAAAAUUUUUGCUUAAGACUGCUUGUGUGCUUAUGUAUGAAAUGUGUUAAACAUUGUGUGCUGUGUACACAAAAACAUACACUAUCUCAUAAAAACACUGUUCGAUCUGGAUUUAAGUUGUAGUUGUCUGCUGUCUUUGCACUUGUUUUGGCUGCCAUCAAGGACUCAAAAUAUAACACUGAAAGGUUCUAAUGGACUAGUCUUGCAGACUGCUUCCUUGGGGGAAUACCAAGGUAAAGCUCAGGAAACCGGUUUGAGAAUUGUAAGGGCCCAAGGGAGAAGGACGUUGUGGAUGGCUAAUAACUGGAAUGUUACAAAAAUAGAAAAAUCACUGUUUGAAAGUGGGGUGUUCUUUCCUGAUACAUAGUAAAAGUUGUGAACUUUAAAAAUGAACAGUAAAUGGUUUUCCUAGCAUUUUGUGAAUGUGUUCACAUCUAGAGUCAUGAAUAAGGCUAUUCUUUUGCCCGCCUUCCGUGUCUCUACAGAACAUGUCUGAAAGAGCCAGAUUCUGAAACACAGACAAGGUGUUCAUCCUGAGGUGAGGUACACGAGACCUUAACUCACUAAGUGAAGGCCAGCGACUUGACUCUAUGACCAGAUUCUGGAACCCCUCACCAACAGAAACUACACUCACCCCAGCGGGCCACAUGGACAAGUUCAAAGCAAUGAGCUUGUACGUUAGCAGGAUAAGAGGGGGCUGACAGCAGACAUCUGAGAGGGGAUGGCUCACAGUAUUAAUCCUUACCUUUCAAGGAGUAAGAAUAAUGUUCUCAACUGCCAGGUACUAAUGACACCAGAAAAUAGCUGGCCUGAGGCAGAGUGCUCCCCUCCUGCACAGUCAGUGCAGAGAAUUAGCUCAGCCUAGAAAGGCUUCCUGCACCUGUAGUAUGGUGGGAAGCCUUUAUUCUUCCAUUGAGCAGUAGGACCACAUUGGUGAGCUGAACACUGAAUAUGCUGAGAAAAGUUGGUGAGUAGCUCAUGGAAUCAGAUUCAGGCUUGGGAAACAGGCUGGACAGGUGCAUGUUUUGCAAUAACUCCACGAGGUUUCAGACCUGGGAUAGUUUUAUACAAUUCAUAUUUUAACAAGACAUGAUGACACGAGAUGUUUUAUGCCAUUUUAAAGAUGGUUGCUUAGACGCCUUCACCAAGGCCAUAGAAACCCAACAAAUAAGUUGAAGCAAGAUUCAAACCCUGCUCUAGUUCCUCGGCUCAGGAUGGGUCCACCAUCUUUACUGCCUGAGGGAUUGGAUGGAUCCAACAGAAUUCACACAGUUCUUGACUGCCUUGCUAUGUGGAAAUCGAGAAACUCCAGGAAAACAAACCCUCUGGCAUUUUUGUCUUCAAUGAGAGGUGUACUCAGCCAUUCUGAGACUCAGGGUGGGUGUGAUGGUACUUUUCUGUGUCCCUAUACCUAAGCUGUGGCCACCUCUCCAGGAUUUUCACGGACCUGCAGCUCUAGCAGCUGCUGUAAGAGCUGCCCUCAGCCUACCCAUGUAACAGGAUUGUCACUGCUCUGUGCUUUCCCCGCAGUCCACUGUGCUGCUGAUGGAGUGAGAUGCGGACCUGAAUCCAGCUUCUCCCUACUCAUCCGCAGCAGCCUUCCUCUUGCUGCCUGGCUGCCCUGUGGUGACUCCAGCCUCCCCACAGGACACACAGGAGCAGUGUACAUGGCCGUCAGCUCACAGGGCCAUGUGUAACGCCACAAGGAAUUCCUGGCUCUAGCUUCAUUGGUUCCCUUGCUGACAGGAAGAGCCCCCUGUCUCUGGGGGAUUGAGCGGGGCAGUAGAUUGCCAGGCUAUCCUGUAAGCACCCUUUCUCACCCUGAAAGCCAGUCCCAUCACUGAAAUGUGGCUUAGCAACUCAUUUCUUUCUCACUGUGCAAAGUGAAGGCAGUACUGCCCUGCGGUUUAUAGCAGCCUGCCUGCUUACCUCUGCUGUCCCUCUUCUUUCUCCCAUUCUCACUCUCUUUCCUUGUUUAACUGGUUCUGCCAGUGAGACUCAGGGCCCUGAUGAAAGGCCAUCUUGUAAGGAAGACGAACAUAGUAAAUUCUAUCAUUUUGUGUCUCAACAUCCAACAGAAAAGUAAGUUGGAGUUUCUCAGGCCAGAGCUUCCUAAACUUUGCUUCUGGUCCCAGUUCUCCACCUCCUACCAGUGGCCCGCGGUGGCCCCUUCAGACAGCUGUCCUCUGCAGCCACCACCUACAGUUGCUAUGGAGUAAAUAUUCAACCCCCUUGGGUCCCCCUAGUGGGGGCUUCCAUCACCACGUGGUCUCUACCAAUGUACUGCAGGGACCACCUCUUUCUUGGUAACAGCACGAUCCCAUGGAACUUACUCGUUCACUUGCUCUAAACUCACAAAUAGACCUCCUGAAGGGAACCUCUUCAAUACCUGGAUCCCCAUAAAGGCUUCAGUUCCAUUUCUUUUGGAUCUUCCCAACAGCCCUGCUAGGCACCCCUCUCAGAUCCAUGAGUAAUAAAGUGCUUCUGUAUAUUACAUACUUCACUGUGAUGCCUCUCUG